rnacentral:rRNA from 1 species
AUACGGAGGGCGCAAGCGUUGCCCGGAAUCACUGGGUGUAAAGGGUGCGUAGGCGGGGCCGUAAGUCAGAGGUGAAAGCCCUCGGCUCAACCGGGGAAUUGCCUCUGAUACUGCAGCUCUUGAGUCCCGGAGAGGCCGCUGGAAUUCCUGGUGUAGCGGUGAAAUGCGUAGAUAUCAGGAGGAACACCGGAGGCGAAGGCGGGCGGCUGGACGGGGACUGACGCUGAGGCACGAAAGCGUGGGGAGCAAACAGGAUUAGAAACCCUAGUAGUCC